UACGGAGGGUGCAAGCGUUAUCCGGAUUCACUGGGUUUAAAGGGUGCGUAGGCGGGCUUAUAAGUCAGUGGUGAAAUCCUCAGACUUAACUGGAGAACUGCCAUUGAUACUAUCAGUCUUGAAUACAGUUGAGGUGGGCGGAAUAUGUCGUGUAGCGGUGAAAUGCUUAGAUAUGACAUAGAACACCAAUUGCGAAGGCAGCUCGCUAAACUGUUAUUGACGCUGAGGCACGAAAGCGUGGGGAUCAAAC
rnacentral:rRNA from 1 species